AAGUCGUAACAAGGUCUCCGUUGGUGAACCAGCGGAGGGAUCAUUACCGAAGUUACCCUUCAAAACCCAUUGUGAACCUUACCUCUUGCCGCGCGUUGCCUCGGCGGGGAGGCGGGGCUCGGGUUCGGCGCGCCCCUCACCGGGCCGCCGUCCCCGUCCCCGUCCCCGCCGGCCGCGCCAAACUCUAAAUUUGAAAAAGCGUACUGCACGUUCUGAUUCAAAACAAAAAACAAGUCAAAACUUUUAACAACGGAUCUCUUGGUUCUG
rnacentral:misc_RNA from 1 species